GGUUUCACUUGGUGGUUGUGGCUUUUGACCCACGCUCGGACUCCCUGGCUUUUGUGCCAGCUGGCAUUGUCCCAAAUCACCAGCAAGGCUUGUUUCCCUUUCUCUGCGGCUACUCAAAGCAGAUACUUCAAGAACUCCAGGGUAAAGCCGCUAUUGGGUUGCCCAGGGCUAAAGCGCAACAAAACCUGUCCUGUUCCCGCCACCACUGCUCCGUAGCAAGCCACUGCCUUGGCCUCUUGAUCCUCUGCGCCCUGCUCUUUUUGUUCCAGAGCUAAGGGUUUACCCUCUCGGCUCCAAGUGCUAAGGCUGGGCUGGGCCAACCGGCUGAACCAGCACUCGUCUUCCCACACCAGCAUCCAGUGGGG
rnacentral:misc_RNA from 1 species